rnacentral:rRNA from 1 species
CCUACGGGUGGCAGCAGUGAGGAAUAUUGGUCAAUGGGCGGGAGCCUGAACCAGCCAAGCCGCGUGAAGGAAGAAGGCGCCAAGCGUCGUAAACUUCUUUUGUCGGGGAACAAAGGGCGCCACGUGUGGCGUUGUGGGUGUACCCGAAGAAAAAGCAUCGGCCAACUCCGUGCCAGCAGCCGCGGUAAUACGGAGGAUGCGAGCGUUAUCCGGAUUUAUUGGGUUUAGAGGGUGCGUAGGCGGUCCGGAAAGUCAGCGGUAAAAGCCCGGGGCUCAACCCCGGCGAGCCGUUGAAACUGGCAGUCUUGAGUGGGCGAGAAGUAUGCGGAAUGCGUGGUGUAGCGGUGAAAUGCAUAGAUAUCACGCAGAACUCCGAUUGCGAAGGCAGCAUACCGGCGCCCUACUGACGCUGAGGCACGAAAGCGUGGGUAUCGAACAGGAUUAGAUACCCCAGUAGUC